rnacentral:sRNA from 12 species
UCUACCGGCUAAUGGGCUUUAUUAACUUUUAUGCUGAACCAAAACUGCAUAAGUGGUAGAACACUUCAUAGAAACACUUAGCGCUAUUGAGUGUGAUGAAAAUCUGCAAAGUGUAUAAGGUUUAAAAAUUUGGCAUUUAACUGUUAGAAAUAGCGCUUCUAGCAGUUUUUU